GUUAUAGGGUCAAGCGAACAAGUGCAUGUGGUGGAUGCCUUGGCGAUCACAGGCGAUGAAGGACGCGGUAGCCUGCGAAAAGCUACGGGGAGCUGGCAAACGAGCUUUGAUCCGUAGAUGUCCGAAUGGGGAACCCACUCCUUUUGGAGUAUCCAUGGC
rnacentral:rRNA from 1 species